rnacentral:rRNA from 1 species
UUAGUGGGUAUAGCACUGAAUAUCUAAUAGUUAUUUAAAGGGAGUAUGAAAGUACUUACCUUGGAUAUUUAAUCUCAGAAUAAUUAAUAAGAAAAUAGAUAAGUUAUCAGACUUCUUGCGAUAAGGUGGAAGUCGAGAG